GACGAACGCUGGCGGCGUGCUUAACACAUGCAAGUCGAACGAUGAAGCCGGAGCUUGCUCUGGUGAAUUAGUGGCGAACGGGUGAGUAACACGUGAGUAACCUGCCCUUGACUCUGGGAUAACUGCGGGAAACUGUAGCUAAUACCGGAUACGACCAUCGGAGGCAUCCCGUGGGGGUGGAAAGAAGUUCGGUCAAGCCUGGACACGCGGCCUAUCAGCUAGUUGGGGAGGUAAAGGCUCCCCAAGGCGACGGCGGGUAGCCGGCGUGAGAGGGUGACCGGCCACUCUGCGACUGAGACACGGCCCAGACUCAUACGGGAGGCAGCAGUGGGGAAUAUUGCACAAUGGGCGCAAGCCUGAUGCAGCAACGCCGCGUGAGGGAUGACGGCCUUCGGGUUGUAAACCCCUUUUAGCAGGGAAGAAGCGAAAGUGACGGUACCUGCAGAAAAAGCACCGGCUAACUACGUGCCAGCAGCCGCCGUAA
rnacentral:rRNA from 1 species